GGUCCAUUAGCUCAGUCGGCAGAGCGUCGUGCUGAUAACGCGAAGGUCGUGAGUUCGAGACUCACAUGGGACCC
rnacentral:tRNA from 1 species